rnacentral:lncRNA from 1 species
ACUCCCCAGCUGUGAAAGGAGGAGCUCUACGGUGACUUUGAAGACUUGGAAACAGGGGACAUGCACAAGGGAAAAUCGGGCCCCGACACUCAGAAUGAAGAUAUAGAGAAACAAGGAAGAAAUUGACCCCGACGAAGAAGAAAGUGCCAAGAAAAAGCAUUUGGAUAAGAAGAGAAAAUUGAAGGAGAUGUUUGAUGCGGAAUAUGAUGAAGGAGAAAGCACAUAUUUUGAUGAUCUUAAAGGAGAAAUGCAGAAAGAAGCACAGAGAGAAGCAGAGAAAUGAAGCAGUUUUUGGUGGAAGAAGUGGAAUCAAAAGGUUUUGAGCUGAAUCACGUAGAAUUUGAAGAUCAAGAUGAUGAAGCCAGAGUUCAGUAUGAUGGUUUUCGACCUGGGAUGUACGUCCGCGUUGAGAUUGAAAAUGUUCCCUGUGAAUUUGUGCAGAACUUUGACCCCCAUUACCCCAUUAUCCUGGGUGGCUUGGGCAACAGCGAGGGAAAUGUUGGACACGUGCAGGUGGGUCCCUUUGCUGCAUAUUUGGUGCCUGAGGCUCUGUGGAUUUCCCCUCCAUCAGUCAUCUUACCCUCUCAUCCCCCUCAGAUGCGUCUGAAGAAACAUCGCUGGUAUAAGAAAAUCCUCAAGUCCCAAGAUCCAAUCAUAUUUUCUGUAGGGUGGAGGAGGUUUCAGACCAUCCUGCUCUAUUAUAUUGAAGACCACAAUGGAAGACAAAGGCUUCUAAAGUAUACCCCACAGCACAUGCAUUGUGGAGCAGCCUUUUGGGGUAAAAUAUGAUUACAAUAACUUGCCUAUUGCCGAGAUUAAACUUUACAGGCUGCGUUAUUUUA